UACGUAGGGGGCAAGCGUUGUCCGGAAUCAUUGGGCGUAAAGAGCGUGUAGGCGGCCAGAUAAGUCCGCUGUGAAAACUCGAGGCUCAACUUCGAGCUGUCGGCGGAAACUAUCUGGCUAGAGUCCGGAAGAGGAGAGUGGAAUUCCUGGUGUAGCGGUGAAAUGCGCAGAUAUCAGGAGGAACACCGGUGGCGAAGGCGGGUCUCUGGGCCGAUACUGACGCUGAGGAGCGAAAGCAUGGGUAGCGAACAGG
rnacentral:rRNA from 1 species